GGAGAGAUGGCCGAGUCCGGUUGAAGGCGUCUGACUCGAAAUCAGAUGUGGGGGUAACCCCACCGGGGGUUCGAAUCCCUCUCUCUCCGCCA
rnacentral:tRNA from 1 species